CCCUUAGAUGUUCUGGGCCGCACACGCGCUACACUGAAGGAGGCAGCGUGUACUCCUGGAUCGAAAGAUUUGGGUAACCCGCGAAUCUCCUUCGUGCUAGGGAUUGAGGUUUGCAAUUAUCCUUCAUGAACGAGGAAUUCCCAGUAAGUGCAAGUCAUAAGCUUGCGCUGACUACGUCCCUGCCCUUUGUACACACCGCCCGUCGCUACUACCGAUUGAAUGAUUUAGUGAGGACUUUGGACUGGGACCGAUGCGGCUUUCGGGCUGCGUCGGUAUUCUGGAAAGAUGUCCAAACUGUAUCAUUUAGAGGAAGUAAAANUCGUANCA
rnacentral:rRNA from 1 species